ensembl:lncRNA
ACAUGGUUUCGGAGUAGUACACUUUGACAUUUUAAUAAAGUUCAGCGAGAAAGGCGUCGAAGAAUAAGAAUAAGAAGGGGGUUAGUUCUACUUUUCUUUAACUUUCUCUCACACACGCACAAGCGACCACACAGUGUAUUUCAGUUAAAUAAUUAAUUAAUUAACCUUAACCCUAACCCUAUCCCUAACCCUAACCCUAACGCCCAUUUGCGUCUGCAGUGGGAUGAUAUUGGUUUAUGUAUCAACGACAUCAGGUAAACUAAAGUAGCUGAUGGGAUUGUAAUCCAUCCACACAAUCGUAUUUGCAGCUAUGAGUUUAUCAGAUUACAGGUCAAAGUUUAUUUUUUAGUCGAUACAAAUUUUCAUGCUAAGUCAAUUCAUAAAAUACAGAGUUAAUUUAUUCAUUCCAAGUCAAACACAGAAAGCUGCUUACAUUUUUACAAAAACAUUGAUUAGUUCAAUAGAAACGGCAGUAAUUGAUUCAGUAGGAUUACUUAUCCAUGUCGACGUCUAAGUGUAACACCAGAAUUAAUUAAUUAAUUAAUUAUUUAACUGAAAUACACUGUGUGGUCGCUUGUGCGUGUGUGAGAGAGAAAGUUAAAGAAAAGUAGAACUUUCCUUGCAGCUCUCUGGUGCUCCCUGCCGGCAGUCUCACUAUACUGUCCGCAUGUUUGACAAAAUUAGUUUGGAGAGACGUUAUCCGUCUCUGUAUGUUGCUUAAAUUCUCCCAAACGGUCGGCUGUGAAGAUCAGGCGACGGUAGGCUAUUGGAGGCAAUGAGCCCGAGUUGAAAAAGAAAAAGCUUACAGCACCUGGUAUUCCCAGGCGGUCUCCCAUCCAAGUACUAACCAGGCCCGACCCUGCUUAGCUUCCGAGAUCCGACGAGAUCGGGCGUGUUCAGGGUGGUAUGGCCGUAAGCAAAUCAUGCCGUCGCCAAACAACAUUUUAUACAGGAGCACACGAAAUAUGGGGGGGAAAGCUAAUCUUAGUUUAAUUUAGAUAAGGAUUUUGUUUUACACCAAAACUCCCUGUCGUUUUUAAAAUAAAAAUUAAGUGAUUUAAAUAUGAGUUCAACCAAAGGGUAUUUACCAACUACUGUGUGUAGCGAUGAAUAUGCGGCAUUCCACACGCAACCUAGGUUGCCUUAUUUAGGCUUCUACAAACCCCGGACACAGGCACGGAGCUGACGUUGAAGCCGGUUUAUUGUAAGGCUGAUACAUGGCCUGGUGCUCCGUGUUGCCAUAGUAGAGGGUGGACACGGCUGGUUUAACCUCUGUACACUGAUUACUCAAUGUGCACAGUUGUAGCCCCAGCCGAGCCCGAGUCCGACGCUGCCUAAACCGAGUAGGGUCCAGCUGCAGCCCGGAGAACCACACCAUGGCGUGACAACACCAACCCAGGCGCGACGGAAGUAGGCCUACUUAAAAAAAAAAAAAAGUACACACUGUUAUCAAUAUUCAAAGAUCGACCGUCGAAGUGAGACUGUCAAUAUGCUUAACAUUAAUAUUGCAUGAAUAUGAACAUGAAUAUUACUCAAAAUAUUAAGCAUAUUGACAGUCUCACAAAUAAAUCACACCAGAGUACUUCCUAAACCAGCCAUCAUCCACACACACUCCCACACGGUCUGAAAUACUUUAUUCAUAAUCAUACCAGCAUUUUGGGCGGCAAUGUGGGAAGCAGAGACACAGUUUUUUCCGACUUUUUGCUUGGAUGUAAAUAGGAAAAAUGGGGAAAAUUUAGGCUGAUCAGUAAUCUGUGAAAAACCUUUGACAUUAAGACUACUAUUUUGUGACAAAAAAUAUACCUUAGCAUCAGGUUACUCUUGCUGUAUCGCAGUAUUAUAUUUUAUUCAUGAAAGCUCUUUUUUCUUUCUUUCUUUCAACUAUAAUCAAUACAUUUUCAAUUUGACAAUGCUCUUUCAUAAUAAUUGCAUAUUCUUUUAUGAAUUAUGAGGCCUACUUGCAUUAAAAAAGAAACGAAAAAGACUCUAAAGCAAAACUCUAUACAAAGUACAGAAGGCUGUCAAUAAAGUCGAUAUAAAAGUUUGCAUGGAUCUUGAGUAAAUACGCAUUGCUUUUAUUCAAUGUAUUAAUACAAAACUAGAAAGGAUUGUAAUAAGAGCAUUUGACACCCAUGAUUUCUAUCUGAUAAAAAAUUGUAAAGGGUCUUCCCCAAGUUUAAGUGAAAAAUAAGCAUUUCGAAGCACGAAAAGCACUAUAUACAGAACUAGAGGUGUACGGCUAUGUACAGAGGCAAUUCAGGUUUCAGCAAGUAGAAGUCCAAUCGAAAAAUACCAGUCUGCUGCAACAUCAUCAUCACGUUCCAUCCUAGUAGCACAGUCCUCAGACCGCCGUGAUGUAGGAGAAUGAAGUGCCUCCAUUCGUCUGUUCAUUCCCAUUGAGUCCUUUACCAUCCUUCUCCUUCCCCUUCUCCUCCACCUCUCCUCCUCCUCCUCCGCCCUCCAGCUUGUUUGCUCCAUCUUUUGCCUCCCCCUCCACCUCGUCUUCAUCGAUGAACAACAUCGGUGGUUCCUCUGCCCUCCCCGCUCCCCUCCUCCCGUUGGGGGAGCUUCUCCCCGUCCCGUCCACCCCAAAGGUGCUCAGCAGCACCUCCUCCUCCCCCCCGCCCUUCCUCUUCUCUUCCUCCUCCUCCCCCGCCUCCUCCCUCGCCGUCGCCGUGGCAGCCAUGCUGCUCAUGGCCACCGGGCCGGCCCAGGCGUCGCCCUCCUUCCCUUUGUUCUUCUUGGAGCCGCGGCUCCCGAAGUGAAGCACCCGGCUCCGCUUUAUCCUCCGCCUGACACACAAGCACAGGCAGAGGGCGACCACCAGGGCGGCCACGGCCAGCAGGACCACCAGCGCGGUCCAGAGGACGGGGAACUUCUGCGCCCCCGGGGUAGGGGUCAGGUUCACGGGGACGAGGGCCGGCCGAGCGGACCAAUCGCCGCUGGAGUCUGGCUCGACGGGGGGGGAGCCGGGGGAGGGGGUCGUGAGGACGGAGAAGAACCUCCGCCCCCCGACGGUGGCGGCGGGGGGUCGCGUGGGCGUGGGCGUAUCCGGAGUCGCCGCGCUGCUGCGAGACGUGGCGAAGGCCUCAGAGGAGCGGAGGGUUUGAGAGCCUGAGGUCGUCGCGGCUGCGAGCCCGGGGCUGGUGUCGGUGGUUGCGAGGAUGGGUGUGGCGUAGGCUGUGGUGGCCUCAGAGACUACCGCUGCUGCCUCCGUUGACUCAAGCCUUGCGCUGGUUGACCUCACAAGAGCCUCCGUGUGAUAGCUCGCCGUGGGCGAGGCCUCAGCCUCGGGAACAUGGGAUGUGGUAUCUAAACUAGUGCCGGCGGGGGUCGUUGCCUCGGUGUGGUUCUCUGACCUCUGGAGAGUAGCUUGCCAGGGCGUUGUAGAGGGUGACUCAGGCCCCUGGGCCUGUAUCCUUUGGACUCCUAGACUUGUGGUUGGUUCUUCACUCGGUACAGUAACCAUGGUGGGCAGUCCGGUCGUACCGAUCGUUGGUCGGCCAUUUUGCAUGAACGGUUCCUUGGUGUUAGGGAUGAUUGCAGUUGAGAUGGUAAGAUCGGCCUCUGGUGUAAGGAGGAAGGGGACAGCGAGAAGUGGAAGCAGAAUUCGAAGCGGGGAAAGAAACCAACCUGCAUUUGCAGACAACAUGAUUAGACGUAGUCAACGAAUUCUGUAAAAAGUCUGAUCUUCUCCUCCUUGUUUAAGCGUUUAAGUCCUUUUGCAGUGUUCCUUCGGCAAUUGUUGCACCUCUCUCUCUCUCUCUCUCUCUCUCUCUCUCUCUCUCUCUCUCUCUCUCCUCUCUCUCUCUCUCUCUCUCUCUCUCUCUCUCUCUCUCUCUCUCUCUCUCUCUCUCUCUCUCUCUCUCUCUCUCUCUGUCAGGAGUUAGAGAGUAAAGUUCGGUAUCUUCUCAGCACAGCAAAGCGUCAUGCCGACCUGGCACCGGGAAGGCCUACUAUCGUGGCAACAAUCGGAUUCGACAGCGUUUGAGCACCGACGGGGCCGGAAAAGACUCUAGAGUUCCUCCCUCCUUCACCUUUCUUCUUAUUUUUAGAGGCGCCUUUGUCGGGGACCGGGCUCAGAACCUCGACACUGUCAUCAACCAGGCGGUCCUGUGGCCUGCAGAUAAGGAACGUUUAGCCAAUUAUUGUAUUAUUUAAAACAGGGAGAAAUAUGAAUCAGGAAAUAGGGAGCGUAGCAUGUGUGCAGCAAUUUGUUCUCCUUUGCUUUUGACUCUUUAUUUCUUCACCACUUCACUUUAAGGAAGUUGUGCUUAUUCGUGCCAACGAGAACCACGCGUAGCGACAACCAUACAAUAUGCCUUUUCCGUCAAAUGCAAUGAUCCCCAGCAUACACUAAGAGAACGAUAGCUUCAAUAGAGAGUGGACUUACCCCCAAAGUCUUCGAUUGCAGAAAAGUUGAAUCACCGAGCUCAUCAAGACACAGCCCAACGCACUUCAGUGUGCACGUGUCUCUGUGUGUUACCGUGCACCGCUGCUCAUACUUCUCUUUUCUCUCUCUCUCUCUCUCUCUCUCUCUCUCUCUCUCUCUCUCUCCCUCUCUCUCGCCCCUGUGUCCUCACAAUGCCGCGCCCUGUUUCACUAUGUGCAAGUUGAGGUAGAGUGAGUAAUGAGAGGAAAGAGAUCUGUUGAUGCUCUUAUAUUGACUGUUGGUCCCACACUUCAAAAGGAG